UACGUAGGGUGCAAGCGUUAAUCGGAAUUACUGGGCGUAAAGCGUGCGCAGGCGGUGUUGUAAGACAGCUGUGAAAUCCCCGGGCUCAACCUGGGAACUGCAUUUGUGACUGCAUCGCUGGAGUGCGGCAGAGGGGGAUGGAAUUCCGCGUGUAGCAGUGAAAUGCGUAGAUAUGCGGAGGAACACCGAUGGCGAAGGCAAUCCCCUGGGCCUGCACUGACGCUCAUGCACGAAAGCGUGGGGAGCAAACAGG
rnacentral:rRNA from 1 species